CAGAUUCCCAGGCUUUCUCAGGCAAGAAGUCCCCAGCAAAUGUGCAAACCCUGCACUGGACUGCCCAGAACAGCCACAAGCUAGCAGCGAGGAAGAAACCCCUGGAGGAGCCGGGCAGGUGGCAUAACUUCUUGAGGAACUUCUUUUAAGGGCAGGAGGAGGAGAAGCAGUGUCCGAAGCAGCGCCCAAAGCCGACUCUGGAGAGGACACCCUGUGUUUCCCUUUCUCAAGCUGCCACUAGCUCAUUCGUUCAUUUAUCAGCUCACGUGACCUACUUGAGUGCCUACUACUGCGGGAUGCAGCAGGAGCUCCUGAGGGGGUCACUCUGGCAGAGGAAUUAGACAGGAGGGCCAACGAUUAAUUACAGUGCAGGGAGGUCAACCAUCCCUCAAUGAGGCUGGCAACUCUCCCUGAGAUGGCCUUACCCUCUCUGUGGGGGACCAGGGAAGACUCUAGGCCGGGAGAGUUGAUUUGGGUUUGAAAGAUGAGAAAAUUAUCAGAGAAAUAAGCAUGUUUUAGGCCGAGGGAACAGCAGGUGCAAAGGUACAGAAGCACCCAAGCCCACAGCUCACUGCUGUCAGGUGGAUGAGUGUGGCCAGCAGGUGAGAAUGUGCAGGGAGGUGUCAGGAGGGCCUGAGAGGGCAGUGGGCAAGGUUGUGAACACCACGCCAAAGAACCUGGGAGUUUGUGGCUGAGUUUCAGAGGACACAUGCCAUGCGGGGCCGAGUAAGGCAGGGAACAAGGUAGGAAAAGCGAGUAGAAUGCUGUGUUCUAGCCCACAGCUUCCUGUUAACCUUCACCCACUAGCUUCUUCCUAUGGCAACCCAUGCUCAGACUGUGCCUUUGUUUACCCCACUCCCCGGAAGCACUGAGUCAGAUAGGCUUUUCUCCCAGAGGCCUUGCUCAAAAAGUACCCAUUGCUCCAGCCCCCUUGGAUUUGCUGAGCCCCAUCAGUGCAACACAUGAGAGGAACCGUCUCUCUUCAGGAAAGAGGUGAAGGAGACAGGGGUCUGAAACUGAACCCAUGAUGUCUCCGAGACGUAUCUGCUCAUGGAAUCCUGUGGUACAAAGUCACCAGGGUCUGGCUCCUUUCACUUAGCCUGGUGCACUUGAGAUUGGCCCAUGUUGUUACCUGGAUCAGCAGUUUGAUUUCCUCUCUGAGCGGUGUCCCACUCAGGGGAUGGCAUGACAGUGUGUCUAUCUACUCGGCAGUGGAAGAAUGUUUCUGUCGUCCUGAUUGUCCCCUGUUUCUGGCCAUUAUGAAAAAUGCCAUUAUAAAUAUUUGCAUACAA